GACGAACGCUGGCGGCGUGCUUAACACAUGCAAGUCGAACGAUGAAGCAAAGAAUCGAAGCUUCGGCAGAAAUUCAUUUCGGAUUAGUGGCAGACGGGUGAGUAACGCGUGAGCAACCUACCUCUUACAAAGGGAUAGCCUCGGGAAACCGGGAUUAAUACCAUAUAACAUUGCGACGAAGCAUUUCGAUGCAAUCAAAGCUACGGCGGUAAGAGAUGGGCUCGCGUCCCAUUAACCGGAUGGUGAGGUAACGGCUCACCAUAGUGACGAUGGGUAACCGGGCUGGGAGGGGGGACGGGUAAACUUGAAACUGGGACACGUCCCGGAUUCCACGGGAGGCAGCAGUGGGGAAUAUUGCACAAUGGAGGGAACUCUGAUGCAGCGACGCCGCGUGAGUGAUGAAGGAAUUCGUUUCGUAAAACUCUGUUCUAUGGGAAGAAAAGGACUGUACCAUAGGAGAAAGCUCCGGCUAAAUACGUG
rnacentral:rRNA from 1 species